UGCGCAGGCGGACUUUUAAGUCAGUGGUGAAAUCCCGAGGCUCAACCUCGGAACUGCCAUUGAUACUGGAAGUCUUGAAUUUGGCUGAAGUGGGCGGAAUGUAGCAUGUAGCGGUGAAAUGCAUAGAUAUGCUACAGAACACCGAUCGCGAAGGCAGCUCACUAAGCCAAUACUGACGCUCAGGCACGAAAGCGUGGGUAGCGAACAGGAUUAGAUACCCUGGUAGUCC
rnacentral:rRNA from 1 species